rnacentral:rRNA from 1 species
AGAGUUUGAUCAUGGCUCAGGAUGAACGCUAGCGGCAGGCUUAACACAUGCAAGUCGAGGGGUAGAAGGAGCUUGCUCCUUUGAGACCGGCGCACGGGUGCGUAACGCGUAUGCAAUCUACCUUGUACAGGGGGAUAGCCCAGAGAAAUUUGGAUUAAUACCCCAUAGUGUAACGAAAAGGCAUCUUUUUGUUACUAAAGUUCCAACGGUACAAGAUGAGCAUGCGUCCCAUUAGCUAGUUGGUGUGGUAACGGCAUACCAAGGCAACGAUGGGUAGGGGUCCUGAGAGGGAGAUCCCCCACACUGGUACUGAGACACGGACCAGACUCCUACGGGAGGCAGCAGUGAGGAAUAUUGGUCAAUGGGCGCAAGCCUGAACCAGCCAUGCCGCGUGCAGGAUGACGGUCCUAUGGAUUGUAAACUGCUUUUGUACAGGAAGAAACACUCCCUCGUGAGGGAGCUUGACGGUACUGUAAGAAUAAGGAUCGGCUAACUCCGUGCCAGCAGCCGCGGUAAUACGGAGGAUCCAAGCGUUAUCCGGAAUCAUUGGGUUUAAAGGGUCCGUAGGCGGUUUUAUAAGUCAGUGGUGAAAUCUGGUCGCUCAACGAUCAAACGGCCAUUGAUACUGUAGAACUUGAAUUACUUGGAAGUAACUAGAAUAUGUAGUGUAGCGGUGAAAUGCUUAGAGAUUACAUGGAAUACCAAUUGCGAAGGCAGGUUACUACGAGUAUAUUGACGCUGAUGGACGAAAGCGUGGGGAGCGAACAGGAUUAGAUACCCUGGUAGUCCACGCCGUAAACGAUGGAUACUAGCUGUUUGGAGCAAUCUGAGUGGCUAAGCGAAAGUGAUAAGUAUCCCACCUGGGGAGUACGCUCGCAAGAGUGAAACUCAAAGGAAUUGACGG